rnacentral:rRNA from 1 species
AUUAAACGCUGGCGGCAUGCCUUACACAUGCAAGUCGAACGGCAGCACGGGGCAACCUGGUGGCGAGUGGCGAACGGGUGAGUAAAGCAUCGGAACGUGCCCUGGAGUGGGGGAUAACGUAGCGAAAGUUGCGCUAAUACCGCAUAUUCUGUGAGCAGGAAAGCAGGGGGAUCGCAAGACCUUGCGCUCUGGGAGCGGCCGAUGUCGGAUUAGCUAGUUGGUGGGGUAAAGGCCUACCAAGGCGACGAUCCGUAGCGGGUCUGAGAGGAUGAUCCGCCACACUGGGACUGAGACACGGCCCAGACUCCUACGGGAGGCAGCAGUGGGGAAUUUUGGACAAUGGGCGGAAGCCUGAUCCAGCCAUGCCGCGUGAGUGAAGAAGGCCUUC